GACGAACGCUGGCGGCGUGCCUAAUACAUGCAAGUAGAACGCUGAAGAGAGGAGCUUGCUCUUCUUGGAUGAGUUGCGAACGGGUGAGUAACGCGUAGGUAACCUGCCUGGUAGCGGGGGAUAACUAUUGGAAACGAUAGCUAAUACCGCAUAAAAUGGAUUAUCGCAUGAUAAUCAAUUGAAAGGUGCAAAUGCAUCACUACCAGAUGGACCUGCGUUGUAUUAGCUAGUUGGUGGGGUAACGGCUCACCAAGGCGACGAUACAUAGCCGACCUGAGAGGGUGAUCGGCCACACUGGGACUGAGACACGGCCCAGACUCCUACGGGAGGCAGCAGUAGGGAAUCUUCGGCAAUGGACGGAAGUCUGACCGAGCAACGCCGCGUGAGUGAAGAAGGUUUUCGGAUCGUAAAGCUCUGUUGUAAGAGAAGAACGAGUGUGAGAGUGGAAAGUUCACAC
rnacentral:rRNA from 1 species